rnacentral:rRNA from 1 species
UACGAAGGGGGCUAGCGUUGCUCGGAAUUACUGGGCGUAAAGGGCGCGUAGGCGGUUCUAUAAGUCAGGCGUGAAAUUCCUGGGCUUAACCUGGGGGCUGCGCUUGAGACUGUGGGACUUGAGGUCAGAAGAGGGUCGUGGAAUUCCCAGUGUAGAGGUGAAAUUCGUAGAUAUUGGGAAGAACACCGGUGGCGAAGGCGGCGACCUGGUCUGAUACUGACGCGUGAGGCGCGACAGCGUGGGGAGCAAACGAG